CUUAGCGCUGCAUUGAUGAAGGAAGGAAAAUCGGUAUGGGUGAUGAAUGUGGUUUCUCUUGGGAUGCGUAAUACACUUCCUCAAAAAUAUGAACUAUUUCGAGCGAAACUUGAUGCUGCUGAACAAAGACUUACAAGCUGAUGCUAACCUCACCUCCUCACUCAGGAAUUGGUAACUUUAAGUUCCUAUCCCCUACCAAAGUCAUCUACAAGAUGAUGAAAAGUGCUCCUAUUGUGAUGCGGGCAUGUGACGAACCACAGAAAGCUGGAUUGGCUGACAUAGUGACGCUCCAAAGGCUCGACACUCCGAGUUCUUCCUAUUGACAUUCUGUUUCACCUUCAACUCUUGCAGGUAGCAGUGGGGUUUGUAUGAUGAGUCGCACAUGGAGGGAUGAACAGCAUCCGUCCUUUCUCAAUUUCAUCUCUUGCUUUCUCAAUGAAAACUCCUUUCGUUCAAAUAUUGUGCCAACUGCACCGGUAAAAGUACUCUUUUCAGCUGUCUUGGUCUUUAUGUAAGUUCUUUCUUUUGCUAAUGGAAGUAAUAACAUUUCUGAUUCAUAGGAUUUCAUCUCUAACUGUGGUGGCUUGUCGGUUGCUUUCACGUUUGUGACCAAUUGGGGUGGCAUCGAUACAACAUCUUUCUUUAGAAAGUAAACAUGCCGUAUAUCUCUCAAACUUCAGUUUCACUUCAUCUAACAUUGAUAAGAUUGUGAAUUGAUGUAGAGUUCUGAAAUUAAAGGAACAGUUUCCAAACUUCUAUGUUGUUAUCACCCUUCCUAUAAAGGAACAAAACGAUUCUUUGAUAUAUUCCUAUAUCAAGUGACACAAUUUUAACUUCCCCUUCAACUGUAUUCUAUAUGUCAAAUUGAUCCUUAUUUGGCACCCAAGGGUGUGGCCUAGUGGUUCAAUGAAGUUGGGAUGAGCACCAUGAGGUCUCAGGUUCAAUUCCCAGCAUAGACAAACACUAGGUGUUUUCUUCCCAUCUGGUAUAGCCUUGGUGGACAGAGUUACCUGGUACCUGUUGCUGGUGGGGGAGGUGGCAGGUAUCCCGUGGAUUUAGUCGAGGUGCGCGCAAGCUGGCCCGGACGCCACGGUUAUCAAAAAAAAAAACAAAAAAAAAUUGAUCCUUAUUUGAAGAGCUUGGAUAAUCUCUUCAUCUUUUUGAAGGUACUGAAUGCAACUUGGAAGGCCAACUUUUGUUCCUGUGCGAGACUUAGAGAUGGGUUUCGAAAAAAUCGUGAAGAUACCACAUGCUCGUGGGGGUAAGAUGUCAAAUCUCUCAAGCUAAACAAAAGAAAGUCAAAAAUACAUAUACUUUACCUCCAAAAUAUCUGUUGUAGCGUGCAAACGCCAGGAUGCAUUGGAAAAAAUAAAAGCUGAGGUAGAUGGUUGAACAGCUUCCUCGAUCUUUAGUGACUAACCUGAUGUUUUGUUUUUUGUGAACUUGAGACAUUUUGUCUUGCAGUUGUAAGAAAAAAUCAGUACAUGCGAUGGAGAUUUACCUACAGGUGGUUACAUCAAUACCUGGGGUUGACAACCAUGACGCAUAUGUGGUAUUUCCUAUUUAUGUUACAUCACAUUUGUUGUACCGUGGUAGAUAUUACCCUUUCUUGUUCAGAGCAUGUGCUUUAAAGAAUGGUAGAACUGCCCAUUAUCAAAUGCAUACAUUUAUAUCUUGAAAUAGUUGUAGCCACUCCUCUUUUCUUUGAUCUGUUUCAGCUUAAUCAAACUAUUGGUUCAAUUGAAGCAAUAGCUAAGUCAUCAAAGUAGUACAUUCUGGAGACUACUGACCUUUCACCCACAAACAAUCACAUGGUUUUUCCGGGAUCCAAAGUUUUAUCUUGCUCCUAAAAUUGGUUGUGUUAUAACUCUAGAGCAUUCAGAGCCAUGCACUCUGUGGAAGUGACUUUAAAUCUCAAGAAGUUACAAGUGGAAGUCGAGUGAACUUAAAUCCCCUGGAAAUGCUGCUGAAGUCCAGUGGUAGUGCUUCUGUAUCUGUUGUCGUAACAUGAUUAGAGGACUCAAAAAGAAAUCGUAAGGAUCUUUAAAUUUUACUUCUCUUGCUUAAGGAAAUAUGACGGUUUAUUUGUGUUAAGUCGAUCUAAGUUUACUGAAGUCCUUUUAAGGAAGAUCAGAAUCGCAUCUACGUUGAUGUUUAAGUUCUUCAGUGCUGCUUGUUUCAAUUUCUGGUCCUUCAUAUGGCUAAAUCUCACUAAGAACUUUCCUUUCAUGGACAAUUUAUCAGAAUUGUACUGAAAUUACAAACGAGGUUUUUCUAUUGAGAUCUGCUUUUUUGCAGUCUAUGAAGAAAUAGCUGAUAUGAAAUACAAUCUGCUUUUAGUAUUGCCUCUCAA